rnacentral:tmRNA from 1 species
GGGGACGCGCGGAUUCGACAGAGGGUGUCCCUGUGAAAUUGCAGGCCGAGGUGCCGUCUCGCCUCGUAAAACAGGCGGCAAGAAUGUAACUGGCGAGCCACAACUCGCACUAGCCGCUUAAGGGCGACUACGUCUGCCCUCGUCUCGCUCCGAGGACGGGGAACAGGCGCCACGUAAUCGGAGUGCGGUCCGCCCUGACGCCGAUGAUGGCGACCAAAGAGCUAUCGGCUGGCCGGAUCACUAUUUCGCCGGCGGAACGGUGAAACGGCGAGAAAUAAAGCGCCGGAUAAGCCUGUAGUACAUUUCAUUGGGGUGUCUUUUGGACGGGGGGUUCGACUCCCCCCCGUCUCCACCA